CUCCGUGGCUACCGGAGGGUCUCCCCUGAGCAGCGCGAAGAGAAAGAGAAAGGGCACGGAGCAGAAGCCUGGGCUCAGCGGCAGCGGCACCGGGAGCUGCACGGCUCCUCCUCCUCCUCCCAGUCACGGCUGCGACGAGAGGCGGCGCUUGCCCGUGGCCGGUGCGGUCGCUGCGCUGCCGCCGGCCGAGUGGCUCGGCCCAGAGUCGUCCAUGGUCGCGACGUGUCGCUUUGGAGGCGCCGGGAAUGUGCUAGGCCGCGUCGCUGCCUCGGCCCUUUCCGCCGCUCUGACCGCGACGGCUGCAGCCUCCCCGCGUUGCUGCGGAGCGGAAAUCCCGCCGGUCCCCCCGGGAGUUCCAGGCCGAGACGGGCGAAAGGCGGCGGCGGUGGCUGCCGCUGCCGCUGCCUCUCAGCGCUGCCCCCUUAACGCCCGGCCGGAUUCCCUGCGUUAAGACUACGGAGGAGAGGCGGGGAAGGCGCGCAGCAAAGCCUCGCUAAGGAGAAUAGUUUUACUGGAGCAAAAGGAAUAUGCGCUUGUUCUUAACCUCGAGGAAGCAAUUGAUAAUAUCUUCAUCCCCUAACUUGAAAAACAGUAAUGUAUGUUAUAGUCUCAUGAUUUUUUACCAAUGGAACUGGGAGAGAUAUGAGGUCUGCCUUACUGGAACCUUCUUGGAAUACUGUUGUUA